CUCCAACGCCCUUUGCCUUCUCGGCGCCCCGCCUGCCCACAGGGGUGUCCGGAGCCCCCCUUCUCCGCCCCGCAGCGGCCCCGGCUCCCCAGCCCGCGAGCUCUUGCACAAGCCCACUCCGGUGUCCCGUCCUCCGGGACCGGGUCCACGCCUUCACCCUGACCGGAGCGCAGUGCCUUCCGGCCUAGUCAAGGACACCGCCUCCUCCCCGCAUACGCCGCCCGCGGCACCUCGGCCGUCGGCCGUCCCGCCCCGCGCGGGACACUCACCCCAACGCCACCGGACCCUGGACGCAGAAAGGAGAAUCCACCGAGGACAGUGCACGGUGCCUCCCGCCCUCAGCAGCUUUAUAGCCACCGACCCACCCGACUCCCGCAACGCCGGGAGGCGGCUAGGGGGGGCGGGACAGCGGCGGCCGCAGCCAAUCACGGCCCUCAGAGCCGCUCGGCAGCGCCCGCCCCUCGACCCGCUUUCUGCCAAUGGGAAGGAAACGAGAGGCGGCGACUCGCUGGGGUUUUCCCUCGCGGCUGGAAGGGCGGGGGAAGGGGCGGGGACAAAGUCGGAGGACCGGGGAAGUGGGGUGAGAGGGUGACGUAGGGUGGCCCGAGAACGUGCCUGCCAAUGGCGGGACGGCGAGAGACGGCGAGAGCCAACGGGAGCGGAGUGAGAGGUUCUCUGGCCAAUGGGCGGUCAGUGAGAGGAGACAGGGACCAAUGGCGACGCCGCGUCCCACCGCUGGGGAGAGAUGGUCAAGUGUGGGAGGCGAGUUGGUCCCUGCUUGGGAGGCUGUCAGGUUGCCUGGCAACCGCAGCCCAGGCUUCACCUGGAAAAUACUUGAAAUACUUGAUUUGAAUUCAAUCUUGACGUUUUCUAGUUUCCAGAGCAGCAAAGUGCGCCUCCAUCACAAGUUAUUGCACACUCCUUCACCCAGAUUUUCUAAAUUUUCAAUCCUUUGUAAGCAAAUUUUCCUUAAUCCACAAGAACGAGAGUGUGUCAAAGUCCGUGUCCCUGCCUGAAUAGCUUAAGAGCUCAGGCCAAGCGUUGUCACCAUGUUCCUUGAAACUCCUGUACAUGAGAGUGAAUGGGAAAGAAGCAAAUGUACAGACUGAAAUGCACAAGAAGACAGAUGGGGCCAUGGACAUUAGCUUGUGUAGCGAUAGAGGCCAAAGAAGCAGAAAUAAGAGACGCUGGAGGCCGGGGUGCCGGAGGCCGGGG